CCAAUAGCGUAUAUUAAAGUUGUUGCAGUUAAAAAGCUCGUAGUUGAAUUUCGGGGUUUAUCCGUCGGUCGGGCUUUCGGGUCUGUACUGGCGUGAUGGAUUCCUACCUUCUGAAUAACCGGCAUGUCAUUAAUUUGGUGCGCCGGGGAAGCAGGACUGUUACCUUGAAAAAAUUAGAGUGCUUAAAGCAGGCUUAUGCCUGAAUACAUUAGCAUGGAAUAAUGAAAUAGGACGGCAUGGUUCUAUUUUGUUGGUUUCUAGGAUCACCGUAAUGAUUAAUAGGGAUAGUUGGGGGCAUUAGUAUUCAAUUGUCAGAGGUGAAAUUCUUGGAUUUAUUGAAGACUAACUUCUGCGAAAGCAUUUGCCAAGGAUGUUUUCAUUAAUCAAGAACGAAAGUUAGGGGAUCGAAGACGAUCAGAUACCGUCGUAGUCUUAACCAUAAACUAUGCCGACUAGGGAUCGGACGAUGUUAAUUUUUUAAUGACUCGUUCGGCGCCUUACG
rnacentral:rRNA from 1 species